UUAUUUUGUUGGCAUACACAUAAUUGUGCAAAUUUUGUUUUUGUUCUUGCUGUUAGCAAACUUAACAAAGUUUUAGCUGUUUUGCGAGCAGGAGUCAAGGUUUUUCUAUGUAGUAGUUAUGCGUAUUGGAUGGAGUUGAUAUAGUGAAGAAAGUUGAAUUCACACUUCACUCAACCCAUUUUCCCCUCCAUAAGAACACACCAGGAACUACAUACCAAAAUUUAAUUUAAUGAAUAUCAUUCGCCCUAUUCCUAUCAAAUACUAUCUCUUUUGGUGAAUGCGAUACACAUCCGUUGACAUUGAAUUGGAUGAAUAUCACCACCCUUAUCACUAUCAAAUACUAUCUGUUUUGGCGAAUGCGAUACACAACCGUGGACAUUGAGUUGGUUUCACUAUAAAAAUGAAUACCUUGUGUAGUGACAAUUGUUGUUCUUUACCAAUUUAAAAUAGAUGUACACAUUGAACCUGCAAGGCUAAUGAGUUGUAAAGAAAAUAAUGAUGACUCCCUCUCAACAAUAAGGUCUGCUGAGAUGAAACUUAGACGACGUGAAAUGGAUAGACUGGUUUCUGCAGAAAAAAGAGAGGCACAAUUAUUACAACGUCAAACAAAUAGUCACGAGCUAAAAAGAAAUGCUAUAUCUGCAACAAUAGCUUUUCAUGUGCAAGAUCAUCCUGCUGCAAGUGUACAAAGUUGCUGCUCCACCUCUCAGAAUCCUCAUCAAAUGGACUUUUCUACUAUUCCCGCAGCAAAAGGGUAUUUUUGAGGAAAAAUGUAAUGAAGAUGUACAUAUUCGGUUUGGAAUUAAGCUGUAAGAUAGUCAUGUUAUGAUUUAUUGAGUUCAUUACUUAAUUGAUGUAAGCUGAUACACCGCUGCUAACAAGAGAUAGAAGACACACAGAGAUACAUAUUAAUUAGGCAUCAUCACCUCCGUUGACUCCUCCAAGUCAGAGUAAAAUUCUUGAAUCGUCAAUUCUGAAAAGCUUUGUUGGAAUUCAGGGAAUACAAGAACAUGUUGCAUUAACAUAAUUACAAUGCAAAGCUGCUCCAGAGUAUAUGGCCACAA